AUCUGAGGGAAAGAAGGUGGCAUCUCAGGGCUGGGACCUUCAGCAGCAUCCCUCUUCCACAGAAUGAGCCACCCUCUUCUCAGACAGCUUCUGCUAGCCUUAUACCAACUGGAAAGCUCCUGGGAGGCAUAACGGGGGGGGGGGGGGUAAAUCCCCUUCGCUGCUGGGCACCUGCUUCCUAGUGGGCAUCGGGCCUUGGCACCUACCACUAGAGUGAAUGGCCGCUUCCAGGACACAAUGCCAACCAACCCGGAGAACGCCAGCUAGGGACAGAGUGGGCACAGGCUCAGCUUGGCAGGGGAAGCACCUAAGUGAGCCCCUUGCCACAGGAUGCACCCAGCCCUGCAAGGAGGGAGAGGACUGGGAGAAGAAGGAAAGACAACCAUGUGGGCUUGCAGGUUCCCGGGAUGAGGUGUUCACACCAAAAGGGACUGACUGCUCAUUCAUCAUUAACAGAGGCAUGGUAAACCGAGCUGGGGCUCCCCCAUCUCCCGCCUAUCAGCCUGCCCACUUUGCCAAGUGCAACCCUCUCCUUGCAGAGUGUUUCCACCCCAGUUCCCCACUCCAUACAAUGGCCCAAUCUCCAGUAAAGAUACAGGAAAUGGGUGAGUUCCAGUUACACUUUUUUUUCUUUAAUUUAAAUAACGGAAGAAGACAUCCUUGGCACAGCAGAAGGAAACUGGGGUUGGGGUUGUGUGAGAGGUGGCGGCAGCAGUGUGGCCAGAUGGGAGAUAAAAGGCAAAUAAUGACUGAGUCACAGCGGGCUCUCCACACCUCAAGUCAGGAUUAAAGUCAUGGCUGUGGAAUGAAGAGCCCCAUAGAAGUCACCAAGUGGUGAUGGCUCCCUGAAUCCCAGAGACUUCAGGGAUAGGGACUAUCUUGGUUCCCACAGGUGACAGGCCCAGGGCAUCCCAGCGGGUGCAGCAGGGGUCAAGGGGCCCUGAAGGCAUUUUCAGCAGCUCCGGCAGCUGCAUUGGCAGCAGCAGUUCGAACCGCAGGGUUGGAGAAGACACCAGCAGCAAAUUCUUGCUGGGCCUUCUGAAAGCUGGCACCCGUUUGGCGGUACAGGGAGUGGAUCUGCAAGAGGGAAGAGAUUAUAAGGGAGGCAGGCCCCUCCCAUCCCAGGAGGAUGGCACCACUCACUAGUCUCCUGCUUUGUACCGUUCCUUCUGCGUUGGCACUCCCUCCAAACACACAAACUCACCCACCCAAGAAAGUCCAUUAGUUGAUAACCCACCCGCCCUGCCCCAUUUCCUUAAUGUUCCACUCAGCAGCCCCUAGGGACCCAAUGAUCUCACUCCCCAGCCCCACCUUCUCCCGACCGGCCCUCACCCGCUUCAGCAUCACGAUUCCCAGCACUGCGAUGCCGGUGAAGAGCAGGGCGACGAGCAGCAUGAGCACCGCCACGGCAGGUUUGGAUCCCACCACCACCAGAGCAGUCACCCAGCCGCUGUGGGAAGAUGCACGGCCCUUCCAUCACCCCUUUCACUUACCGGAAAGCCUUAUACAUCGGGCGGUACCAGCAGACAAAG